rnacentral:lncRNA from 1 species
GCACUAACAAAAAUCAAUACGUCUUUAUUUAACAAAAUAAAUACUAGACCAGUUAAAGUGGUUUUGGUUUUUGUGUCGGCGCAUUUUACAUAGAAAGGUUCACUCAUGUAUGUAAUUCAUUUUCGUACGUUUUAACAAAUUCACUUUAAAUGAUCAUUUUGUCAAAAUGGACACUUUAUCUAGCACCGUUGUCAGUACCUAUUAUAAUGCACACACAAUAGAAACAAUCUGUUUUCUUCAGUUAUUAUAACUUUUAUAUUUAGUACAAUUGUUUAAAAAUAUCACUUAAUCUUUCUCCAUAUUUUUUGUUUAUCUUAAUUCAUAGCACAAUUGACGAGUGUUUCAAGAGCUCAUGUGCAAAUGGGUGAGUAUACGAUAAUUAGUUAAGCGAUGAAAAUUGAACGAAAAAAAAAUAGACUUUACAUUUAAUUUUCAACACGUCUUAAUAUGCGUCUUGUUAGGGCUAGGCUAACACUUUAUAAAUAGAGAACCCAUUAGAGGACGUUUGUAAAAGAGCAUCAGUUCGAUAAUAUCAAUAUAAAGGUUGUAAAACACAAAUAUAGAGGAUUUAGAGUUAUCCCCCUUAGACUGCAUUACAGCCUAUUUGAACAAUACUUUUGUAUACACAAUUGUUAUAUGUAUAGGUUGUGAUUUAACUAUAUGGCAGGCCAUAUUUACUGUAUGUAAUAAAUGUAAAUGUUGUUCAAAAUAAAUCAUUACUAGUAUACUUCUUAA